GGCAGUGUAGCCAAGUGGUUACGGCGUCACGUUUAGGCUCUUAUGAGUUCCGUGAUGGGUCCUCCCGCGCGAGUUCGAAUCUCGUCACUGUCA